UACGUAGGGUGCAAGCGGUGUCCGGAAUUAUUGGGCGUAAAGAGCUCGUAGGCGGUCUGUCGCGUCUGCUGUGAAAACUCAGGGCUUAACCCUGAGCUUGCAGUGGGUACGGGCAGACUAGAGUGCGGUAGGGGAGACUGGAAUUCCUGGUGUAGCGGUGAAAUGCGCAGAUAUCAGGAGGAACACCGGUGGCGAAGGCGGGUCUCUGGGCCGUAACUGACGCUGAGGAGCGAAAGCAUGGGGAGCGAACAGG
rnacentral:rRNA from 1 species